rnacentral:rRNA from 1 species
CCAAAAGCGGAGGAAAAGAAACCAACAGGGAUUGCCUUAGUAGCGGCGAGUGAAGCGGCAAAAGCUCAAAUUUGAAAUCUGGCACUUUCAGUGUCCGAGUUGUAAUUUGAAGAAGGUAUCUUUGGGUCUGGCUCUUGUCUAUGUUUCUUGGAACAGAACGUCACAGAGGGUGAGAAUCCCGUGCGAUGAGAUGUCCCAGACCUAUGUAAAGUUCCUUCGAAGAGUCGAGUUGUUUGGGAAUGCAGCUCUAAGUGGGUGGUAAAUUCCAUCUAAAGCUAAAUAUUGGCGAGAGACCGAUAGCGAACAAGUACAGUGAUGGAAAGAUGAAAAGAACUUUGAAAAGAGAGUGAAAAAGUACGUGAAAUUGUUGAAAGGGAAGGGCUUGAGAUCAGACUUGGUAUUUUGUAUGUUACUCUCUCGGGGGUGGCCUCUACAGUUUACCGGGCCAGCAUCAGUUUGAGCGGUAGGAUAAGUGCAAAGAAAUGUGGCACUGCUUCGGUAGUGUGUUAUAGUCUUUGUCGAUACUGCCAGCUUAGACUGAGGACUGCGGCUUCGGCCUAGGAUGUUGGCAUAAUGAUCUUAAGUCGCCCGUCUUG